UGCCCCCGACUCUGGGAUAACCCCGGGAAAUCGGAGCUAAUACCGGAUACGAGACGCACAGGCAUCUGUGAGUCUGGAAAGAAUUUCGGUCGGGGAUGGGGUCGCGGCCUAUCAGCUAGUUGGUGGGGUAACGGCCCACCAAGGCGACGACGGGUAGCCGGCCUGAGAGGGCGACCGGCCACACUGGGACUGAGACACGGCCCAGACUCCUACGGGAGGCAGCAGUGGGGAAUAUUGCACAAUGGGCGAAAGCUGAUGCAGCGACGCCGCGUGAGGGAUGACGGCCUUCGGGUUGUAAACCUCUUUCAGCAGGGAAGAAGCGAAAGUGACGGGUACCUGCAGAAGAAGCGCCGGCUAACUACGUGCCAGCAGCCGCGGUAAUACGUAGGGCGCAAGCGUUGUCCGGAAUUAUUGGGCGUAAAGAGCUCGUAGGCGGUCUGUCGCGUCUGCUGUGAAAACCCGAGGCUCAACCUCGGGCCUGCAGUGGGUACGGGCAGACUAGAGUGCGGUAGGGGAGACUGGAAUUCCUGGUGUAGCGGUGGAAUGCGCAGAUAUCAGGAGGAACACCGAUGGCGAAGGCAGGUCUCUGGGCCGCAACUGACGCUGAGGAGCGAAAGGAUGGGGAGCGAACAGGAUUAGAUACCCUGGUAGUCCAUGCCGUAAACGUUGGGCACUAGGUGUGGGGCUCAUUCCACGAGUUCUGUGCCGCAGCAAACGCAUUAAGUGCCCCGCCUGGGGAGUACGGCCGCAAGGCUAAAACUCAAAGGAAUUGACGGGGGCCCGCACAAGCGGCGGAGCAUGCGGAUUAAUUCGAUGCAACGCGAAGAACCUUACCAAGGCUUGACAUAUACCGAAAACUCAUGGAGACAUGGGGUCCGCAAGGGCGGUAUACAGGUGGUGCAUGGUUGUCGUCAGCUCGUGUCGUGAGAUGUUGGGUUAAGUCCCGCAACGAGCGCAACCCUCGUCCUAUGUUGCCAGCGGGUCAUGCCGGGGACUCAUAGGAGACUGCCGGGGUCAACUCGGAGGAAGGUGGGGAUGAUGUCAAAUCAUCAUGCCCCUUAUGUCUUGGGCUUCACGCAUGCUACAAUGGCCGGUACAAAGGGCUGCGAUACCGCAAGGUGGAGCGAAUCCCAAAAAGCCGGUCUCAGUUCGGAUUGGGGUCUGCAACUCGACCCCAUGAAGUCGGA
rnacentral:rRNA from 1 species